UACGGGGGGGGCAAGCGUUGUUCGGAAUUACUGGGCGUAAAGGCUCGUAGGCGGCCAACUAAGUCAGACGUGAAAUCCCUCGGCUUAACCGGGGAACUGCGUCUGAUACUGGAUGGCUAGAGUUUGGGAGAGGGAUGCGGAAUUCCAGGUGUAGCGGUGAAAUGCGUAGAUAUCUGGAGGAACACCGGUGGCGAAGGCGGCAUCCUGGACCAACACUGACGCUGAGGAGCGAAAGCCAGGGGAG
rnacentral:rRNA from 1 species